rnacentral:rRNA from 1 species
AUGGGCACCGAGUUGUUCAGGCGCAUUGCAGAGAAACUAGCGAGCCAAGACCGGUUUUUUCAGCAAAGGAGGAAUGUCGCCGGAGAGCUUGGUCAUAGCACCUUUCAGAAGGUGACAGCCGCUUUGCAUAUGGUGCUGCUCUCUGGGAAAAUAUGGACAUAUUCACAACAAAACAGGCAUUCAAACUUAAGUUCAGUCCUAAACUACUUCACUUCAGACUUGACAGACAAACUACAUGGCAUGCGCGAUGUCAUCGAUGCAACUGUUCUUGGAACACCGGACCCUGCAGAUGUUCGAGGCGUUGGACAUCCUGCCUUGAUAGGACUACAUCAGCCAUUCCGAGUUACCCACCAAGCUGCGGAGCGAUCGCUACACCACAUGCAGCAAGCUUUGGAGACUACAGAAAGCAUAAACCCAGAUACAAAAACCAAAAUGAUGAAUUUUUUCAGGCACACUGCAUACUUCCUUGUCGCCGGUAAUGAGAUGACAAGGCAAACCCAAAGUGUACCUCCCUGCAAACAUGCAACGAACAAACCAGUCGAGUAA